rnacentral:sRNA from 1 species
UAAGAAGUUGCUUGUUGAGGAAAGCCA